UCAGUUCACUCAGUACCAUCUCCGAACGCCCACACAGUUUGUGGAAACCACAGGGAGAGAGAGAGAGAGAGAGAGAGAGAGAGAGAAUGGCUGGUGCCAGAUUUCUGUGUUUCUUCCUCCUCGUCGUGACCGCUUGCUCCGCCGCAGCAGCUGGCUUCGAGGGCGCUGACCUUGAGUCCUCCAUCCUCCAAACCGUCGGCCACACCCGUCCCGCCCUCUCCUUCGUAGACUUCGCCCGCGGGCACGGGAAGACGUACAAGACAGCGGAGGAGAUCAAGUUGAGGUUCGAUAAUUACAGGGAGAAUCUCAAGCUCAUUCGAUCCACCAACCAGAAGGGCUUGCCUUACACUCGCUGUUAAUCAGUAUGCUGACUGGAGCUGGGAGGAGUUCAAGACGCACAGACUGGGAGCUUCUCAAGACUGCUCUGCCACCACCAAGGGCAGCCACAAGCUCACCGACGAUGUUCUUCCCGAAACG